rnacentral:rRNA from 1 species
CCUACGGGAGGCAGCAGUGAGGAAUAUUGGUCAAUGGACGCAAGUCUGAACCAGCCAUGCCGCGUGCAGGAAGACGGCUCUAUGAGUUGUAAACUGCUUUUGUACGAGGGUAAAUCCCGAUACGUGUAUCGGGUUGAAAGUAUCGUACGAAUAAGGAUCGGCUAACUCCGUGCCAGCAGCCGCGGUAAUACGGAGGAUUCAAGCGUUAUCCGGAUUUAUUGGGUUUAAAGGGUGCGUAGGCGGUUCGAUAAGUUAGAGGUGAAAGCUCGGGGCUCAACCCCGGCACUGCCUCUGAUACUGUCGGGCUAGAGUUUAGUUGCGGUAGGCGGAAUGUAUGGUGUAGCGGUGAAAUGCAUAGAGAUCAUACAGAACACCGAUUGCGAAGGUAGCUUACCAAACUACGACUGACGUUGAGGCACGAAAGCGUGGGGAGCAAACAGGAUUAGAUACCCGAGUAGUC